rnacentral:rRNA from 1 species
UACGUAGGGGGCGAGCGUUGUCCGGAAUUAUUGGGCGUAAAGCGCGUGUAGGCGGCUUUGCAAGUCGGGUGUGAAAGCCCUCAGCUCAACUGAGGAAGUGCGCCCGAAACUGCAGAGCUUGAGUGCCGGAGAGGGUGGCGGAAUUCCCCAAGUAGAGGUGAAAUUCGUAGAUAUGGGGAGGAACACCGGUGGCGAAGGCGGCCACCUGGACGGUAACUGACGCUGAGACGCGAAAGCGUGGGGAGCAAACAGG